rnacentral:lncRNA from 1 species
CUCUCUCUAUCUCUCUCUCGCUCUCCCACGCGACCCUCGCACGGAAGGCGCGCGGGCGCGGGCCCCUUGGGACCCCCCUUGUCCCCCCUCUCUAUCUCUCCCUCUCUCUCUCUGUCUGCUCUCUCUAUCUCUCUCUCCCUCUCUCUUUCUCUCUGUCUGCUCUCUCUCCCUCUCUCUCUCUCUCUGUCUGCUCUCUCUAUCUCUCUCUCUCUCUCGUGCGAGGCCCCCAAAACG